rnacentral:rRNA from 1 species
GGGAUAACAUCUGGAAACAGGUGCUAAUACCGGAUAUGAGCUUGUCCUGCAUGGGAUGGGUUGGAAAGCUCCGGCGGUCAUGGAUGGACUCGCGGCCUAUCAGCUUGUUGGUGAGGUAAUGGCUCACCAAGGCUUCGACGGGUAGCCGGCCUGAGAGGGCGACCGGCCACAUUGGGACUGAGAUACGGCCCAAACUCCUACGGGAGGCAGCAGUGGGGAAUAUUGCACAAUGGGCGGAAGCCUGAUGCAGCAACGCCGCGUGCGGGAUGACGGCCUUCGGGUUGUAAACCGCUUUCAGCAGGGACGAAGCGUGAGUGACGGUACCUGCAGAAGAAGCACCGGCUAACUACGUGCCAGCAGCCGCGGUGAUACGUAGGGUGCGAGCGUUGUCCGGAUUUAUUGGGCGUAAAGAGCUUGUAGGCGGUUUGUCGCGUCGGGAGUGAAAACUCAGGGCUUAACCCUGAGCCUGCUUCCGAUACGGGCAGACUUGAGGAAGGUAGGG